UACGAAGGGGGCUAGCGUUGCUCGGAAUCACUGGGCGUAAAGGGUGCGUAGGCGGGUCUUUAAGUCAGGGGUGAAAUCCUGGAGCUCAACUCCAGAACUGCCUUUGAUACUGAGGAUCUUGAGUUCGGGAGAGGUGAGUGGAACUGGCGAGUGUAGAGGUGAAAUUCGUAGAUAUUCGCAAGAACACCAGUGGCGAAGGCGGCUCACUGGCCCGAUACUGACGCUGAGGCACGAAAGCGUGGGGAGCAAACAGG
rnacentral:rRNA from 1 species